ensembl:snoRNA Gm24432 predicted gene, 24432
UCUGGCCCCUAGAGGCAUUGAAGGUGUGGCUGCUGUGUCACCCGCGCGGCAGUAGGUGGCAGAGAGGUUAUGUCUGUGCUCAGUGUUCUGACCUAUAAGUGUCUGAAUGAUUAGUAGCUUAAUAUU